UAUAUGUUAUUUACUAAGAAUAGUUUUUUAAAAUAGCAUAGCUGUAUAAUUAAACUAUACAGGGAGAGAACAAAAAUUUGGAAUAGGAAAAGUGUUGAUUGCAUAUGUUGCUAUUGAAACUGUGAAGUCAAAUAAGCAUGGCUUAUGCAGACAUGUAAUAGAGAUAGAGGAAGAAAAAAUAAUAAUCGUGGGCACCAAAUAUCAUAAGCUAAACACGAUUC